UCUCCGCACACCCGUGAGAAUACCCUUUCCACCCACUUAGGGAAUAGGAGUUGAUAUCAGGCACACAAAAUUGCCCAAGACAUCUAGUUAUGCCACACCCACAAGGGCUUUCAGCAGUGAUUAAUAUUAAAAAUAAACGUCAGUUUGAUUUAAUUAAAGAAAAACGGGCCGGCCAAUCUGGUGCCAGCCGCCGCGGUUACACCAAGUGGCCCCAAUAGAUUUUAUUCGGCGUAAAGCGUGGUUAAAAAAAUAUAAUAAUAAGGCUAAACUCAAACUAAGCUGUAGCACGCUUGUUCUCCGGAAAAUCAUAUAUCGAAAGAUGCCCUACCUAAACUUGAACCCACCACAACCAGGACAUAAACUAGGAUUAGAUACCCUAACCCGGUCGUAAACUUUAACUUACAACCUCCCCCGCCAGGAAACUACGAGCAAAGCUUAAAACCCAAGGGACUUGACGGUGCCCCAUAUCCCCCUAAAGGAGCCUGUCCUAUAAUCGAUACCCCCCGAUUUAACCUCACCAUUUUUAGUUUUUCAGCCUGUAUACUUCCGUCGUCAGCUUACCGCAUGAGCGCAAGUAAGCUUAAUGUCUCUACAACCUAACGUCAGGUCAAAGUGCAGCUUAUAAAAUGGGAAGAGAUGGGCUACACUUUCUACCUUAGAAAAUACGAAAAACUAUGUGAAAUCAUAUUUAGAAGGCGGAUUUAGAAGUAAAAACAGAAUAGAGAACUAUUUUUAACUGAGCACUGGGGCGUGUACACACCGCCCGUCACCCCCUUCGAUACAACCCACCAAAGUAAUUAACUAAAUCAUUAAUAUAAAGAAGAGGCAAGUCGUAACAUGGUAAGUGUACCGGAAGGUGCACUUGGAAC
rnacentral:ncRNA from 1 species